rnacentral:rRNA from 1 species
GUGCCAGCAGCCGCGGUAAUACGUAGGGUGCAAGCGUUAAUCGGAAUUACUGGGCGUAAAGCGUGCGCAGGCGGUUUUGUAAGUCUGUCGUGAAAGCCCCGGGCUCAACCUGGGAAUUGCGAUGGAGACUGCAAGGCUUGAAUCUGGCAGAGGGGGGUAGAAUUCCACGUGUAGCAGUGAAAUGCGUAGAGAUGUGGAGGAACACCGAUGGCGAAGGCAGCCCCCUGGGUCAAGAUUGACGCUCAUGCACGAAAGCGUGGGGAGCAAACAGGAUUAGAUACCCUGGUAGUCCACGCCCUAAACGAUGUCUACUAGUUGUCGGGUUUUAAUUAACUUGGUAACGCAGCUAACGCGUGAAGUAGACCGCCUGGGGAGUACGGUCGCAAGAUUAAAACUUAAAUGAAUUGACGGGG